UUUCCCUUUCCCUUUCUUUUUCUUUUUUUUUUUCUUUUCCUUUUCCUUUUCUUUUUCUUUUCUCCCUAGCUCCCUCCCUAGCUCCCUUCCCGCCCCCCCUCCCCUCCUCCCGCAGCGCGGCACGCGAACCGCACGCGUCCCAACAAAGCUCCGGCCGGCCCGGCCGCCCCCCGCUCCCGCCUCAGCUGCUGCCUCCCGGCCCUGGCAGGAGGCGGUCCCGGGGCCGCCUGGGGCCCGCUGAGGCGGCGGCGAGCGCGGCCCCUCCGCGGGUCGCCACUGGGGCUGAACCCUGUCCCAGCCAGGCGGGAUGGGGUUUUGUUGCGGGGGAAGCAGCGCUGUGGAAACGCCUUACAGUUGUCCGGAGCUCGAAAUCCGCUCCCGAUGAAAUCUCUUGGGUUUGCGGCAUUAUCUUAAUUAAGAUAAUUGAUUCAUAUUGCACCUGCGAGAGUGCGGGGAAAAGAUGCCUCCCCAAAUAGCUUGGAGCUAUCGGAGAGAGGAAGCCACGCUUAUAAUUGAGCGAGUGAUUUACUGCCCGGGUAGCCCGGACUGUUCGGGCUCUCUCCUCUCGCUAUCAGAUUUCCCGUUCCCUCCCUCUCCAGAGAGGCACCCACACAAACCCUGAAGGUUAUCCUGAAUAAAAAAAGAGAAGGGAAAACGUCUCUCCCCGCUGCCCCUGUCCCUCCGUCCCAGCCCACCGCAUCCCACCGUGGGGCCGGAGCCACCGCCGGCGCGGGGAUCGGGCUCGGGAAGGGCCGGCUUGGGUCUGCCCGCGGCUUUCCCCCGCUCGCCCAUUUCCAAACGCUGCGGUGAGAGGAGGGGACGGGAGGAGAGGGCAGCCCCAUCGCCCGGAUCACUCCGAGCUGUGACCAGCCUGCUGCGGCUGCCGUGGCUCGGGAAUCACCGCGGGAGAACAACGCUUUGAAGUGCCGCUCCGGUAUCGGUUCGGUGCGGGGCGAGACCGCAUCUCACUUGGUAGCGUCUCUCUAGGAUACAAUGUACAUCUGGGCUCGAAAAUUGCUGGGAAGAUGCCAGCCUUGCUGAAGUGCUCAGUGUUGGAGAACUGAUGGCCGUGACUCUAAGUAAUUGUGGAAGAAGUGUGGACAAGCUUGAAAAAAGCAGUAAAUGAGGAAUAAUCUACACACUGUAGCCUGUCAGGUGUCCUUUGGAGAAAGGCUGGCUGUAGUGGAGUUAUGGCAUGAGCAGCCAGUGAUGCAACAGCUAUGUUCUGGCUGGAGUAAUCUUGCAGAGAGACAUCCUUAAUGCUGAGCUUUAGUCCAAAGCUCUAGGUCAGAGUACUUCUGAGGUGCUGGGACUGAAGUUGUGUGCCACAAUGCACACACACUUUUCUCAUGUACCAGGUAGACCUUUUCUAUUUAUUUGUGAUGACUCUGUCCCAGGAAAACAUUUCUCUUUGCUAGUCAUCAUGUGAGCCCAGAGAAAAGUAUGUACUGAAAACUUGUAGUUCUCUCAUCUGGCUUAGUCCUUCUGUCAGAGUUUUUUUCUCCAUGCUGAACCUUUGCUUGGUUUAUGUGGAUUCCCAAGAGAGGAGGAACAUGCUUGUAAAUCAUUGUUUUCUCAACAACUGAGCUCCAGUUACAUGCCACUAUGAUAAUAUAAAUAUUUACUCAUUUUGUCCCUCUUCACCCUUGCAAGUGGAUAAGAGCAUCUGGCCCUUUGUUGGUAGUCUAUUGUCAGUUUGCUAGAGCAUCCAGUUGUUUACGUUGACUUGAAAAAGGGCACAUAAAUAACCCUGCUCUCCACUGCUUUGCAGAGUGUGGUCACUGUUGAAAGGGGGUGUUAAGCCUAUCCUUCCAACAGGAGAGGGGAAUUCUCACCUGGCCACUCUUCAGGUGGCUUGCAGAUCUGUAUUUGACAAUUUCGCAAAAGAAGCAGUGGAGAAGAAAUCUAUGGGUUUUGUAUUUCUGUAUAUUUAUCCUCAGAGUUCAUGCUGUGGUAUUUACAAAAUCUUUUUGGCAACACAAAUAACCUCAAAACCAAUGACAAGACGAUUUUAUUGGAGAAUAGAUCUAGCAUUUUUAAAACUGAAUUUUAAAAAGCUCUGGUGGAAGAAGAAAUAGAGAGUAUAACGUUAAGAUGUAUUUUUUAAAGAUCUAUUUCAAACUAUCAUCUGUAGUCCUUCUGUAUCCAUGCCAUCUCCAGGUAGACUGAUGCUCUGUAAAACUAUCAAUAAAGAGAAUGACUACA